rnacentral:lncRNA from 1 species
AAAGGCAGACAAAUAUGAGUGUGUACUUUGAAUUGGCAUGCGCAGCCACACUGGCUGAAGCCAUGAGAAGAUUUGAAAGAGGGGUGUGGGGGCCACCCCUUCGUUGUGAACAGUUUGAUUAGGGCCCUGGCUUUCUUUCUUUCUUUCUUUCUUUGUGAGAAGAUUUGAAAGAGGGGUGUGAACAGUUUGAUUAGGACCCUGGCUUUUUUUUUUUUUUUUUUUGCAUCUUCAUCUCUUUCCAUAUUCAUUACACUGCCUGAUCGUAGCUGAGCUAAUGCCAAAUAGCUUUCCCGUUAAUCUGAUUAAAUAAUAGCACAGGAUUGCGAUGUCAGUGCACCAGAGAUAGGGAGACAAUGUCUGUUGCAAAGCCGAAGCGGACCUGACGGGCAAGAGGCAGACCAUGAUAAGCUUGAAAUAGACCACAGCAGUGGCUGCAGAAAGGAGAGUCUCACAGAGCAAGGUUAUGGCUGCCAGUGGACUACAGCAAGAACUGGACAGAAAACAAGACGAAAGAGAGAAAAGGACAGGAUGCUUGGCUAGAGACAUCAUGCAAGACAUGGGCCAGCACCACAUCUUUGCCCUCUGCAUUCCGAAAGGUGGCUACACGUUCUUCGAUGGAUCACAUCAAAGCCCUAAAUCAGAACACAGAUCAGUCUGUCCCAAUCACAGUGGAUUUUGUAAGACUACAAAGUUACUGUGUAAGUAUAUUUCUUCAUAACUUCAGUUGACCAUGUGAUUAGAAUGGAAUGGUGAUGAAAGCAGGCUAAGGGUCUAAUUGCAACUUUCUAGACAGCAUGCCAUUAAAAGAUGGAAGAACGUAAAGGCUGGGCGAUGUCUAUACAGCAUAGGUCUCAUAAUUAGAACGUUAUAGUAGGACCCCUGUAUAUGUGGGUUCAGUACCCACUGAUUCGCUUAUCCAUGAUCUG